rnacentral:rRNA from 1 species
UACGUAGGGUGCGAGCGUUAAUCGGAAUUACUGGGCGUAAAGCGUGCGCAGGCGGUUCGCUGUGUCCGAUGUGAAAGCCCCGGGCUUAACCUGGGAAUGGCAUUGGAAACUGGCGGGCUUGAGUGCGGCAGAGGGGGGUGGAAUUCCGCGUGUAGCAGUGAAAUGCGUAGAUAUCAGGAGGAACACCUAUUGCGAAGGCAGCUCGCUGGGACGUUACUGACGCUGAGACGCGAAAGCGUGGGGAGCAAACAGG